AGAAAAAGGGCAAUGGGUAUAGGUGAACAAUAGAAAACUGGCUCUGCUACAGCAGAUGCUGUAAAAAUGAAAGUUAAAAAUCAUUCACAUCAAGUGAUUUCUUUAACGUUUAAAGGUUAAUGGAAUUUUUCUUAGUUUUAUUUUUUUUCUGCAAGGUUUCAGAUAAUGGGAGCAUUCAAACAGAAAUGAGGAGUACAUCAGUUCAGUCUACCAGUAGUCCCAAUGACAUUACUUCUGGGUCAUGGUUUCCUGGCAUUGACCCUUCCAAUUUGGCUUCUUCUUAAGGGUUCAUUUUGAGCCAGUCUGUUGUUUGACUCCAGUCUGAAAAGACCUUAUUGAUAUUUUGUUGUUUUUCCAUCUUUUAUACAGGGUUCACCUUCAAGGUACUCCAACACCUUGUCUUGUCUUAUAUCUUACAAGUGAUAUGUGCUGUGUGGUGUGCAAAUCCAUAUACUGAGCAUUUGUAAAAUUUAAAAAUACUUUGAGAAUUUGUUUAAAAAUUGGUUUAGACUACAUGUUUAUAUGAUAGUUAGUUAAUGAGCAAUAUUUGAAAGUGUUCAGCUCUUUUUGAAUCACUUUGUAUUAAAAAACAAACAUUAUCAAACUUCAUAAAGCACACUGCAAACCCCUUUUCUGCAUUUAGGCACUAGGACCUUCCUUCUGCCAUCCCCUUAUCCUAGAGGACUAUUUUUAAAGACUUCUCCUGACACACCAGCACAAAAAUUUUAAAUUUAUAGAGCACCUAUAUAUCACAUAAACAUAUUUCUAUGGGACUAUCAGAUGAUCCACUAUGCCAUUGUUUGUUACAGUCAGCACUCAGUGAAGAGCACUGCACAAAAAUCAACUGAUUUGAACUGAAUGACCUUGCAUCAUUCCUCUACAUGUUUUGAGACCAUUCUUAUAUCCUUUCAUUUCAAUCAUUAAUCUGGAAUCUUCUUUAGUAAUACUUCUAUUUACAUUCCAUUGUCUCUUCACAUCUCAUUUCUUUUGCACUUCUCUGCUCUUCCUCCUACUCAUCU